GGAAACCUCCUCCAUGAUUCAGUUACUUCCACCUGGUCUCUCCCUUGACAUGUAGGAAUUAGGAAGAUUGCAAUUCAAUGUGAGAUAUUGGGUGGAGGCACAGCCAAACAUAUCACCUUGAUGCACAGGCUCAAAAACAGUCCACAGGAUACCAUAACUGAGCUGGAAUAGAACAUGGGGCAUCUGAAAAGAAGAACCAAAAUAGAUGCCUGGUCUUCAACUAAAUGACCUGUUCAUCUUUUUCUAGAAAACUUUGGAACACCAAGGACGCAGUUAUCAUGCGAGUUCAGUCUCUCAGAACACACGUGGGGGAAUUUAGUAUUUCAACUUUUAGGUAGACAGUUUCUACAAGCUAAAUAAUGGAAAAAAAGGAUCCAAAUAAAGAAGUUAUAAAACACAUGAA